rnacentral:rRNA from 1 species
AGUGAACGCUGGCGGUAGGCCUAACACAUGCAAGUCGAACGGCAGCACAGUAAGAGCUUGCUCUUACGGGUGGCGAGUGGCGGACGGGUGAGGAAUACAUCGGAAUCUACUUUUUCGUGGGGGAUAACGUAGGGAAACUUACGCUAAUACCGCAUACGACCUACGGGUGAAAGCAGGGGAUCUUCGGACCUUGCGCGAUUGAAUGAGCCGAUGUCGGAUUAGCUAGUUGGCGGGGUAAAGGCCCACCAAGGCGACGAUCCGUAGCUGGUCUGAGAGGAUGAUCAGCCACACUGGAACUGAGACACGGUACAGACUCCUAAGGGAGGCAGCAGUGGGGAAUAUUGGACAAUGGGCGCAAGCCUGAUCCAGCCAUACCGCGUGGGUGAAGAAGGCCUUCGGGUUGUAAAGCCCUUUUGUUGGGAAAGAAAAGCAGCAGGUUAAUACCCCGCUGUUCUGACGGUACCCAAAGAAUAAGCACCGGCUAACUUCGUG